rnacentral:lncRNA from 1 species
AAACAUGGACAUGCAGACCACAGAAUUCACCAGAUACCCAACUUGGGUGGUGCCGGGCUCUGAAAGACAUGCUUCAAGUAAGAGGGACUAGAAAACUCCGCCAGGGAGCAACAGGGAUCAGGGAUUCCAGGAGGAUCCAGGGGCCUGUGCAAAGAGCAAGCAGUGAGCAGACGUGUGUGUCAGUGAUCCGGUGGCAUGAACUCAACACCAUCUAAUACAGCAGCUCACAUUUCUGUGUGCAUCAGACUCACCUGGGGACUUGUUAAACACAGAUUGUUGGGUCUCACUCCUAGAGUUUCUUCUUCAGUAUUCUGGGGAGCAGCCUGUGAAUCUGUAUUUCCAGCAUGACUUUCAGGUGCUAUUGAUACUGUUGGUCCAAGGACCACACUAUGAUCUAAUUUAGCACCAGGUUAGGGGAGGAACUAAGGAGCAAAGAAGCAACAGAAGAAGGGACCUGAAGCCUGUAGGGGCUUCUCUGUAAACUCCUCAAACAAAAGCCUUCAAGACAUUCAAAAAACAUUUACAGCAUCAUGUCUACAAAUACAAGGAACCCCCUCCCAAGAUAACUAACCCACUCUAGCUUCAUCCAUUCAUGAGGGCAGAGCCUUCAUGACCUAAUCACCUCUUAAAGGUUCCACUGGUCAACACUGUUGCAUUAGGGGUUGAGUUUCCAACACAUGAACUUCGGGGAACACAUUCAAACCACAGCAGUCCUCAUGUAAACCUUCCAGAAAACCUGUGUGCCUGGCACUCUGGAAUCCCUCUUUUCCACCCCUUCUCACUGCAACUCUAACAUCAUGUCCCCUCAUCAUUUUCCAUUCGAGCAUAGGAAAGAACACAAUCACUACACCCAUUUUUGAUGAACCUUUCCUACAUUAAAAUAAUUCUAUCACUCAGAUAGAAAUUUGAAAUGAGAAUAUAGUUUAAUGGAAAUCCUAAAAUACACAGAAAAUAAAAAUAAUCACCAAAAAUGUUCAAUGAAGCAAAGCAACACAUAGAGAUCUUAUAUCCUAAAAUAUAUAGACCUAAAUAUGUCAUUUUAAAAAUCAAGGAAGAAACAUAAGGAGCUCUAUACACACCUUUAAAAAUAUGCUGUCUAGAAUUAAUUUGGAAUUCUGUUAAGAUACAUUUUACUAGGAAAAGUAUCUAAGUCAUUAAUGUAUCAAAGAAAACAAUCAUUCUUGUAUUGCAAAUAAAUGCCCAACCAAGACAAAAAGGCAUGUCACAUCUUAUGGGAAAAGACUGAAAUGAGGGUGAGAGGAAAACUGUGACCUUUGAAUGUAAGACAGAAAAAAAUCAGGCCAGAAUGUUAAGGAAUUGGAAAUGAUUCUCCAAAUUAAAGGAAUAUGAGACAGAAAGAGAGGAGAGAGGGAGGCGAUAGUCCUCCAGGGGCUACUCCAGGGGUGUGGGGGUAUCUCCCUUUCAAGGGGCUGUUUCCUGUGUUAACUGACUCCCCAUAAAAAAAAAUUAUAUAUACUAACAAAUGAUAUUGUACCCCAUAAAUUGUACAUGUUUGCUUAAAAAUAUUUCAAAGAAUUGUUUUGGCUGAUUUUUAUCUAUCUUCUAAAUUAUAUAUAUUUAUGGGGUAUAAAAUGAUGGUAUGACUUUUCAUUACGAUGUGGAAUGAUGAAAUCAAAUUAACCAACCCAUUACCUCAAAUACUUGACUUUUUUUUGUGAUGAGAAUGCUGUUUAAUCACUUUCAUCACCACCUGCUGAUGUCAUCCAUGCUAGGGACAGGAAAGCCUCCACACUCCCAGUAGACUCCCUCCAAUAGACAUCAGGGGUGUGGGGUAGAUGGGAAUAAAGGAGGCAGAGAGAGCAGUGGGGAUGUACAUAAAAUCACCGUUCAGAGCUGCGCUGUCCAAUAAGGCAGCCACUGCCACAUGUGGCUGCUGAGCACUUGAAAGAUUGCUAAGCUGUUAGGAUCAUUGCCUCUAUUAUCACCAUGACAUCAGGUCACCACCAAACCGUCAAGUGCUAAACAGACAGAAUGUUUCCACUCCUGAUCCACUGUGUGGAGAAGCACAGAGCUUACCCAUGGGGAGCUGCAUCAGAAGAGACGCACACGCACCGGGGCGUG